rnacentral:rRNA from 1 species
GAAGCCGGUCGCCUAACCGCAAGGGGGCGCCGACCACGGUGAGAUUCAUGACUGGGGUGAAGUCGUAACAAGGUACCC